CUUGGCCUCCUGUACCUCCCACAGGCGUCCGAUGGUGCUGGCCGUGUCCCAACCGUGCCGGCGCCGCCGACGGGAGCCGAGCGGGACCAAUUCGAGCCAUGCAGGUCGUGCGGGGUGCCGGGUCCUGGUUGCUGCGAUCCUGGGCUCUGCCCCGGACAACCGGGCGCGUGGCCGGGGCCCGGGCGCUGCAAGGCGCGCCUCAGCCGGAGGCGGCGGAGCAGGCGCAGCAGGCAUCCGCGGGGCGCGGCGGCUUCAGCGUUUACCCUCCCGCUCCAGGGCAGGAGAGCUCGCUGAGGUGGGCAGGAAAGAGGUUUGAGGAGAUCCCGAUCGCUCACAUCAAGGCGUCCUACAACAACACACAGAUCCAGGUGGUGUCUGCCGCCAACCAGCCCCUCGCCCGCACUUCCUGUGGCACAGAGGGGUUUCGGAACGCCAAGAAGGGCACUGGCAUUGCCGCUCAGACCGCAGGCAUAGCCGCAGCCGCGAAAGCCUCAGGGAAGGGUGUGACCCACGUCCGAGUGGUGGUGAAGGGCCUGGGGCCAGGACGCCUGUCUGCCAUCAAGGGGCUGACCAUGGGGGGCCUGGAAGUGAUCUCCAUCACAGACAACACCCCCAUCCCACACAACGGCUGCCGUCCCAGGAAGGCCAGGAGGCUGUGAGGGAAGGGACUGCCCUGCCCUGGCCCCCAGCUGGACCUCGUGGGAAGCUCCCUUUCGGCUGUCUUUGAGGGGGCAGAGACUCUCGGACUCUCGGGGAAGUCAGGCAGAUGCCUGAGGCGCUGACCAAGCAGGGCUGAUCAACAAGUGUGGUCCACAAGGCAGCUCUGCCUGACCGGCUCCAGGGCUCUCCAGAGCUCACUUCUCCCAGGCUUCCUGAGAUUCCCCGGACCUUUGUGGAGACAGCGACACAGAACUGACGGACAGAACAAACCCGGAUGGGGCGGGGCAGCUGAACUCCAUCUCUGGUCUCAGCCUCCGCAUACUAGCACAGCGAGUUUGAAUUUGAGCAGGUGCUCAAAUUCUGUGCCAAACAUGAACUUGGCGAUUCAAUGCUGGGGACAAUGGGACCUGGCCCCUCGGGUCACCCUGUUCAAGUUCCCAAAGGAAGUGGUCUUGGUGGUGGAAAGAAUGUGGCACACGGCCCACCCUGAACGGCCUGUUUCACAGGAAUGACGCUAACCUCACUGGCAGGUGCACCAUGAGGUCAGACACAGAGCCCCAGAUCUCUGGUAUCUGGGUAAGAAUGAUGCCGUGCAGUGGGGCUGGGGUCUGUGGCCCCUCAGACGCAGGUAGGACAUCCUCCACAAGCAGGCCGCCGGCUGGAAAGCUGUCUCCACACCGACCGGCAUCUCUCCCACUGAUAGCUUCUGUGCUGCGUGUGUGACCUCACGGCCUUAAAUUACACCUGGGUGGGUGCAAUCUUCCACCCAGAGCUGGCAGAGGAGGGGGCUCUCCCUGGGGAGAGUGGGACUGGCUCCAGGAGACCCUGGUUAUCUUGUGUGACCUUGGGGUUUUAAGCCACACCUCCAGGUGGCUGCCAUCUUUGACCCAGAGCUGGCAGGGGAGGGGGCUGGGCCCUAAGGACACAGACAUCUCCAGGAAAUCCCCACGUCCACCCGCUACCUCCAUGAGCCCCAAGCCAAUCAACAUGCGUGUGAGAAACCCCGUCCAAUGGGCACCCCCACCCAGUGAGCACAGUGAUGCCUUAGACACCGGGACACCUCCUCAGAGCCCGCGUCCCCCUCGGGCUCUCUGCCUGGGCUCCUCUCAGGCCAGACGCGUUCUCUGUCGCCUGCCAAUCAAAUAAAAGUUUCUUUCCUGUCAAGUAAGUCUGCAAA